GGACGCCCCGCGCGGUCACAUGACCGGCUCUUCGCGCCACUUUCGUAAAUCUGCCUUUUCUCCCCCCAAUCCCAGCCUUUCGCUCCGGAGCUCCAAGAGAUGUCCAUGUUCUUGAGUAGUUAGAUGAAUAUCCAGCCUUUUCUCCAGAAGACCCAAGAGAAGUACGUAGCUUGGCCUCCUCCACUUCUCCUCCACCACAAGAACCUGAUGAGCUACUUUUGACAGGACACAGCAGCUCUCCUCAGAGGAAACCCUCCCGAGCAGUGGCCCUUCGUUGGCCAAAGGAAGAUGGCCAAGAGCUUCUGGACUGUGAGGCAAGCCAUUGGUGGCACAAAAGUGCUUAUAGUGCAGUGGUGGAAAUACGGCAAAAAGGAGUCGGAAUGAACUGUUUGGCAGAAUUCACUCUCUGCAGGUGGAGAGAGUUUGGAUGCCCGUUCACAUCUUCGGCCGGUGCCUCUGCGCUUCUGCUGUGCCACUCCUGGGACC